GGUAUGGCGACCAUAGCGAGGGGGCUACACCCGUUCCCAUCCCGAACACGGAAGUUAAGCCCCUCUACGUUACUCCGAGUACUGCCUUUUGGCGGGAAAGGAGUAAAGUUGCCAGCC
rnacentral:rRNA from 1 species